rnacentral:rRNA from 1 species
UUGACCUCCUAUCAUGCAGCAUUACCC